rnacentral:rRNA from 1 species
GACGAACGCUGGCGGCGUGCUUAAUGCAUGCAAGUCGAACGGGGUCCAACCAGUCGCAAGACUGGGGAAGACCGAGUGGCGAACGGGUGUGUAACACGUGAGGAACCUGCCCCGGAGACCGGGAUAACCCUCCGAAAGGAGAGCUAAUACCGGAUGUGCUCGUCGGACCGCAUGAUCUGACGAGGAAAUGGAUUCCGCUUCGGGAUGGCCUCGCGGCCUAUCAGCUUGUUGGUGGGGUAACGGCUCACCAAGGCAACGACGGGUAGCUGGUCUGAGAGGACGAUCAGCCACACUGGGACUGAGACACGGCCCAGACUCCUACGGGAGGCAGCAGCAGGGAAUAUUGCGCAAUGGGCGAAAGCCUGACGCAGCAACGCCGCGUGGGGGAUGAAGGCUCUUGGGUUGUAAACCCCUUUCAGCAGGGACGAUUGUGACGGUACCUGCAGAAGAAGGACCGGCCAACUACGUGCCAGCCGCCGCCGUAACAC